GAUGAAGAACGUAGCGAACUACGAUAAGUAAUGUGAAUUGCAGAAUUCAGUGAAUCAUCGAGUCUUUGAACGCACAUUGCGCCCCCUGGCAUUCCGGGGGGCAUGCCUGUCCGAGCGUCAUUGCUGCCCUUCAAGCCCGGCUUGUGUGUUGGGUCGUCGUCCCCCCCGGGGGACGGGCCCGAAAGGCAGCGGCGGCACCGCGUCCGGUCCUCGAGCGUAUGGGGCUUUGUCACCCGCUCGAUUAGGGCCGGCCGGGCGCCAGCCGGCGUCUCCAACCUUCUAUUUUACCAGGUUGACCUCGGAUCAGGUAGGGAUACCCGCUGAACUUAAGCAUAUCAAUAAGCGGAGGA
rnacentral:misc_RNA from 1 species